AGAGUUUGAUCCUGGCUCAGGACSAACGCUGGCGGCGUGCUUAACAAUGCAAGUCGAGCGGUAAGGCUCCUUCGGGAGUACMCGAGCSGCGAACGGGUGAGUAACMCGUGAGCAAUCUGCCCUUCAAUCGGGAUAACUCCGGGAAACCGAAGCUAAUACCGAAUACGACCACUUCAGGCAUCUGAUGGUGGUGGAAAGUUCCGGCGGUGAAGGAUGAGCUCGCGGCCUAUCAGCUUGUUGGUGGGGUAAUGGCCCACCAAGGCUUCGAGGGUAGCCGGCCUGAGAGGGUGACCGGCCMCMCUGGGACUGAGACMCGGCCCMGACUCCUACSGGAGGCAGCAGUGGGGAAUAUUGGACMAUGGGCSAAAGCCUGAUCCMGCAACSCCGCGUGAGGGAUGACGGCCUUCGGGUUGUAAACCUCUUUCAGUAGGGACGAAGCGCMAGUGACGGUACCUACAGAAGAAGCACCGGCMACUACGUGCCAGCAGCCGCGGUAAUACGUAGGGUGCGAGCGUUGUCCCGGAAUUAUUGGGCGUAAAGGGCUCGUAGGCGGUCUGUUGCGUCGGGAGUGAAA
rnacentral:rRNA from 1 species